UACGAGGGGUCCUAGCGUUGUUCGGAAUCAUUGGGCGUAAAGCGGGUGUAGGCGGCUUAUCAAGUCAGAAGUGAAAUCCCUGGGCUCAACCCAGGACGUGCUUUUGAUACUGUUAAGCUUGAGUGCAAGAGAGGUUAGUGGAAUUCCUGGUGUAGUGGUGAAAUACGUAGAUAUUGGGAAGAACACCAGUGGCGAAGGCGACUCUCUGGACCGUUUCUGACGCUGAUGGACGAAAGCGUGGGUAGCGAACAGG
rnacentral:rRNA from 1 species